rnacentral:rRNA from 1 species
ACGAACGCUGGCGGCGUGCUUAACACAUGCAAGUCGAACGGAAAGGCCCUGCUUUUGUGGGGUGCUCGAGUGGCGAACGGGUGAGUAACACGUGAGUAACCUGCCCUUGACUUUGGGAUAACUACAGGAAACUGGGGCUAAUACCGGAUAGGAGCUCCUGCUGCAUGGUGGGGGUUGGAAAGUUUCGGCGGUUGGGGAUGGACUCGCGGCUUAUCAGCUUGUUGGUGGGGUAGUGGCUUACCAAGGCUUUGACGGGUAGCCGGCCUGAGAGGGUGACCGGCCACAUUGGGACUGAGAUACGGCCCAGACUCCUACGGGAGGCAGCAGUGGGGAAUAGUGCACAAUGGGCGGAAGCCUGAUGCAGCAACGCCGCGUGCGGGAUGACGGCCUUCGGGUUGUAAACCGCUUUCGCCUGUGACGAAGCGUGAGUGACGGUAAUGGGUAAAGAAGCACCGGCUAACUACGUG